rnacentral:rRNA from 1 species
UACGUAGGGGGCAAGCGUUGUCCGGAAUUACUAGGCGUAAAGGGUUCGUAGGUGGUGCGGCAAGUUGGAAGUGAAAUCUCUGGGCUUAACCCAGAGGCUGCUUUCAAAACUGCCGUGCUCGAGUGCGAGAGAGGUCAGUGGAAUUGCAGGUGUAGCGGUGAAAUGCGUAGAUAUCUGCAGGAACACCCGUGGCGAAGGCGGCUGACUGGAUCGCAACUGACACUGAGGAGCGAAAGCUAGGGGAGCAAACAGG